rnacentral:rRNA from 1 species
UACAGAGGGUGCGAGCGUUAAUCGGAAUUACUGGGCGUAAAGCGUGCGUAGACGGCUAUCUAAGUCGGGUGUGAAAGCCCCGGGCUCAACCUGGGAAUUGCAUUCGAGACUGAAUAGCUAGGGUACGGUAGAGGGAAGCGGAAUUCCGGUGUAGCGGUGAAAUGCGCAGAUAUCGGGAGGAACACCAGUAGCGAAGGCGGCACUCUGGGCCGGUACUGACGCUGAGGAGCGAAAGCGUGGGGAGCGAACAGG